UAUUAUAUAGGAUAUACUUUUCCAGUAUAUUGUAACCUAGCAGAGGGCCAGUCUGGUGCCAGCAGCUGCGGUAAUUCCAGCUCUGCAAGUUUGCUCCCAUAUUGUUGUAGUUAAAACGCUCGUAGUCUGAAUUAUUUUAAUUUAAAUUUUUUAAAUUAAAAUUUAGUUUUUAUUUUAUAAAAACGUUCACUGUGAACAAAUCAGAACGCUUAAAGUAAUUUUCUUUAUUGAAUGAUUUAGCGCAGUAUGAAAUUUUUACUUUUUAAAUUUUAAUUAAUUUAACAAGUAAUAUCAAAGAGAAUAAUCGGGGAUAGAUCUAUUUCAUGGCGAACAGCGAAAUGUUUUGACCCAUGAGAGAGAAACGAAGGCGAAAGCAUCUAUCAAGUGUAUUUCUAUCGAUCAAGGGCGAGAGUAGGAGUAUCCAACCGGAUCAGAGACCCGGGUAGUUCCUACCUUAAACUAUGCCGACAAGGUUUUGUUUUUUUUAAUAAAAGCAGUACCAUAGGAGAAAUCAUAGUUCAUGGGCUCUGGGGGAACUACGACCGCAAGGCUGAAACUUGAAGGAAUUGACGGAAGGGCACACCAGGGGUGGAGCUUGUGGCUUAAUUUGAAUCAACACGGGAAAACUUACCAGGACCAGAUAUUUUUAAUGACUGAUCAGGCUAUAGGUCUUUCAGGAUAUGAUUUUUGGUGGUGCAUGGCCGUUGGUGGUGCGUGGGUUGACCUGUCUAGCGUUGAUUCAGAUAACGAGCGAGAUUAUCACCAAUUAAAUAUAUAAAUAUUUUAUUAAAA
rnacentral:rRNA from 1 species